rnacentral:lncRNA from 1 species
AGAGGCUUCCUUUCAAGCUGAGUAGAAAUAUCGUAUAAAGAAAAUGACAAAAGAAAUAUCACACGGAGAUCAGUGUACCCAUAUAUUGAUAUGAAAUCUCAUUCUCAUAUAUCAUAUAUAUAAACACUGAUGCUCGAAUCAUCUCCGAUCCGAUUUAGCAAAGCGAAAGCCAAUAGCUUCGCUAUAGCGACUACGUUCCAGCUUGGAUUUGGAAAUCGAAUCUCUCAGUCGGCGGGGGAA